CCGGAUCGGCCCGCACUUGCGCCCGAAUCCGCUAACGGGGCCCUCUUCGUCCCAGCCGCCCGACAGUCCCUCUUCUUUCAAAUUUUUUUUUUCUUCCUUCUCCCAGUCCGGUCGCCCACUUCUUGCGCCCAGUCCGCAUCAGAUCCGCCCAAAACUCCACCAGAACUCGGAUUUCCUCUACAUUUCUCUUCAAUCUGUGGUAUUUCUUCACCAUUUUUUUUCUUUCUUCUUCUUCUUCUUGCAACUUGUUAACCCUAACCUUGCUUCUAUUUAUUUUUUUUAUUAUUUUUACAAAUUGCUUGUACUUUUUCAACCAAAUCUCAUCAUCUACCUAGAUUUGCAUCUUAGCAUGUUAGAUCUAGCAUCCUGUUCAUUUUUUUUUUUUUGCAUAAACCCUAGAUUUAAAAAUAAAAAAAAACAAAAUAAAAAAAAUUAAAAAAACAUGGAAAAUGCCU
rnacentral:lncRNA from 1 species